GGCAUGUUCAUGUUUGCAUUUGCUGGAUUUUUUCUGCUAUUAUGGACACAGCUUGCUUCUUCAAGAGUAUACAAGUCAUCCACAGGUUUAUGAGUCUCAGCUAUUGCUAUGGCUCAACUGUUAGUUACAUGUUUCCUUAGAUAGGUGAUGCGAAGAAAUAAGCUAAAACAAAGAAAUGUGAGCUAAGAAUUGAUCGUUAUGCAAACAUUUUAUUGAUCUUGACUGAAAACAUGAGAUAGAUACAAGCAGAUAGUUGAGAAUAAUGCUUGUUAAGUUCGCUUGACAGGAUCAAAAUUGGAAACACCAAUUAUAGCGCCAAGAAUUGCAGCAAGCACAACUCCACCUGCAGAAAUGCUGAGCAAAAAGUUCUUUAGGGAUGGUGAAACACUCUCUGCUGCUUCGGCUACAUCAGGCAUGACCAUGGAAGCAGUGAGUGCAGCU
rnacentral:misc_RNA from 1 species